rnacentral:rRNA from 1 species
AUUGAACGCUGGCGGCAGGCCUAACACAUGCAAGUCGAGCGAGCGGAGGACGGGUGAGUAAUGUCUGGGAAACAGCCUGAUGGAGGGGGAUAACUACUGGAAAAGGCAGCUAAUACCGCAUACCAUGCGAUGUGUCCAGGUGGGAUUAGCUAGUCGGUGGGGUAACUGCCCACCUAGGCGACGAUCCCUAGCUGGUCUGAGAGGAUGAUCAGCAACACGGGAACUGAGACACGGCCCAGACUCCUACGGGAGGCAGCAGUGGGGAAUAUUUCACAAUGGGCGCAAGCCUGAUGCAGCCAUGCCGCGUGUGUGAAGAAGGCUUUCGGGUUGUAAAGCACUUUCAUCGGGGAGGCGUUACCCACAGAGGAAGCACCGGCUAACUCCGUGCCAGCAGCCGCGGUAAUAC